rnacentral:lncRNA from 1 species
AUAUUGGUGGUAAGAACUGUCAAAAACUUGUGAUAGCUAUGAUGAAGAGUUUUAUGACAAAUUCACUCAUGGCCAAAUCUAAUAUGGCAGCUGGAAAAGGCAAAGAAUCUUUUUAGUCUAACCAAGCUAUACAACUUAAUAAAAGUUUGUGCAUCGACUUCUCACGAAUUAUACACAGAGUCGAUUGUCGAUGCAAUAAUUGCUGAUUCGUGAAAGCGGGCAACUUUUGCUUGUCUUAAAGUGCCUUAAAUCCAACAGAUAU